GAUGAACGCUGGCGGCGUGCCUAAUACAUGCAAGUCGAGCGAACAGACGAGGAGCUUGCUCCUCUGACGUUAGCGGCGGACGGGUGAGUAACACGUGGAUAACCUACCUAUAAGACUGGGAUAACUUCGGGAAACCGGAGCUAAUACCGGAUAAUAUAUUGAACCGCAUGGUUCAAUAGUGAAAGACGGUUUUGCUGUCACUUAUAGAUGGAUCCGCGCCGCAUUAGCUAGUUGGUAAGGUAACGGCUUACCAAGGCAACGAUGCGUAGCCGACCUGAGAGGAUGAUCGGCCACACUGGAACUGAGACACGGUCCAGACUCCUACGGGAGGCAGCAGUAGGGAAUCUUCCGCAAUGGGCGAAAGCCUGACGGAGCAACGCCGCGUGAGUGAUGAAGGUCUUCGGAUCGUAAAACUCUGUUAUUAGUGAAGAACAAAUGUGUAAGUAACUAUGCACGUCUUGACGGUACCUAAUCAGAAAGCCACGGCUAACUACGUG
rnacentral:rRNA from 1 species